rnacentral:tRNA from 1 species
UCUUCUUUAGCUUAAGUUUAAAGCGGUAGUUUGAAGCACUUGAUAUAGUCUUUUGGCUAGGAAGAG